GCGGCGCCGAGAGGGCGGGCGGGCGGGCUUCGGAGCGCCGGGAGGGCCGGGUCCGCGGCCGGUCGGUGCGCGGCGGGCGGGCGGCGGGCGCCGGUCUAUAUGGCGGCGGCUCUGUCGGGCCUGGCUGUCCGGCUGUCGCGCUCGGCCGCCGCCCGCUCCUAUGGGGUCUUCUGCAAGGGGCUGACCCGCACGCUGCUCAUCUUUUUCGACCUGGCCUGGCGCUUGCGCAUCAACUUCCCCUACCUCUACAUCGUGGCUUCCAUGAUGCUCAACGUCCGCCUGCAGAGCUGGCGACUUCUGAGUCCAGGUCCGCAGCUCUGACGUCUCUCUUGAGGUGAAGGAUUUACUGACCCACCUGCUCGCCAGAGCCCCGCAGCCCAACUCUGCUGCCCAGUCUGAGCACCUUCCCUGCCUUCCAGACCUGCUCUCCUCCCCCUUUGCGGUUCAUAUUGAGAUCCAUUGAAGGCCUUCCGUGGACUGACAGGCGUGUCCUGGGGCUCAGGGUGUCAGAGAACACACAGCAUGAGGGACGGAAAGGGGACUCUCAGCACCUGCCUCGCAGAAGAGAAGGGAGCAGGCGAUGACUCGGACAAACUACUGUACAGAGAACUGUUGUAUAAGAGAAUGCAGGAGGAGAGCGCUUGCCCAUCAGAUAUAACUUCCAGGGUGAAUAAGCCUGCGGUUGAUGUAAAUGGAAAUUCACAAAAUGAGGAGUUAUCACUGGAAAUGAAAAAUGAUCUGAGUGAGGUCAGCCUCUUGCUUCACGAUGGCAACAGAGUGCUUCCAUAUCUGCAAGAACCAAUACGAAGAAAUUCAGCUUCAGCAGCUGCUCAGAGCAAGGCUGUGGAUCUGUUCUUUGCUCCCCCAGAAGAGCGUUUCGCUGGGGCAUCCUGUGGCGUCGGGGGAGCUCAGGGGAGGGACUGGCUGGGAGGAGGGCCCAGGGCCACUGACAGCCACGGAGGACGGAGCCACAGGGGAAAGCCUUGGGGGUCAGGACUACCGUGCCAUCAAAAAUGGUUGGAAAUGGGGAUUUCUGAGGAUGAACCACCACGUGCUUUUCUGGAGAAGCUGGACUCUGCGUCGGAACCCUCUUGCCUGCGUUCCGUCCUGUCUGCACUGCUGCACGCACAUCCCCACGUAUUCGUGAAAGAUGAGACAAAAUGUGUUUUCCCUGGCCGUUCAAAGCCCAUGUUUUCAGGGCAAAGAGUAGAAUACAAGAAAAUGCUUUCACGUGUAAAAAGUACCUCAGAUGAUCUGCAGGAAACACUGGCGUCACUGGCUCUACAAGCUUCUGAAUUAGCAAAUCUCUUAUGCCAUAGUUAAGGUACAGGCAGAACAAUAAAAAUAGAUUAAUUAAAAAAGUUGUCCUAGAAUGAUUUCUUUUGCAUUAAGUCUGGAUGCACAGGGUGCAGCCAUGAAGCUCCUGCUUUGGUUUGUAUGACCAGACAUACUUAAAGGCAGUGGAAUUUAAGCUCAUGGAAAGCUGCUUGAUACGGAAGGAAAUUUUUGAGUUUUAAAUUGAGCUUGAAAGACACUUAGAAUUGGGAAGCCGUGUCAAGGAGACUAUUGAUAUAUCCUAUAUAAAUAUCAGAUUAGAAUCAAAAGAUUUAACAAAGUUUUUAAUUUACCUUCAGCACCCAUCCUAAAGGGCUACUGUCCCAGAUACUGUCUCUCUAGACUGUCUCUGACCAUCUAAUGGAAAUAGAUAUUUGUAAAGUUGACUCUGAGCCAGGCUGAGUUGGUGGUAAGCUGUUACCAUUUCUGCAUUUUGCAGAAUGAGCAAAAUCUGAUUUCUUUUCUCACAUCCCUUUCCUUCCACUUGACAUGCAAUUUAAAUGGAGGCCCUACGGUGAAAGUUGCAAUAUUAACCUUACCUUUAGUUAACGCUUUCUCAAGCUAGGAACCCUAGCAGUGUUACUCAGAAUAAAUAAUGAGCUUGAGCCUGUCUGCCAGGGCUCAGUUAUAGAGAAAAAUCAAGCAUUUCCCUUAGAGAAGGUUUCCAGUUUCUAGGAGUCGAGGUAUCUCUUACACUAAGAUUUUUUUCUGAGAGAACACCUUUUGUUGUGUGUUGAUCACUUUGAUAAAAGGCAUUUUAGAGUGUAAGUUUUUAAAGAGUCCGAAAGUAAGGCUUAACCAUUUUCGGAAUUAUUGAUUGCAUCUAUCAGUUUAUAUUGUGUGCUAAAUUACUAUGCCGUGUGCUAUUUUAGUGUUUUGGGGAAAUGAAAAAUAAAACCUGUUCUUUAGCAUAAUAAAUGUCUUAUUUUACGUGUGUAGUCUUGGUUCCCCUUGUCUUCAUUAUUAAUGCUGCCCUCCUCAUACGCAAGUCUUUUAGCACAAAGUCAUUUGCUGAUUUAGAAGAUUGGAAGCAGAGAAUGAAAAGCAUUACGUCAAGUUACGUUGGAACUCAACUCUCACUUUCCUCCCGGAUGUAACGGAAUGCUGUAUUGUGCUCCUUGGUUACGGGGGGUGCGCUCAGAGAGCCCCAAAGUAAGAACCCUUGUGGAAAAAACGAUCUCUAGCCGGUCUAAGAGGACACCGACUUGACUGAACGAUUAAAGCCCUGGUUAGUGGACACUCCGUCUAGGGGUCACCCGUGGGUGGUGAAACGAGAUGACACAUUUAAGUGUUUCAGAAUGGGAACUGUUUUCUUGUCAACACCUUCUCCCUGCCUCCCCCCCCUUUUUGUUUUAAACUCAGUCUGCUACUUUGAGAUGGAACUUUCUAUGACUCAUCAACUGUUUUUUUUUAUUUUGCUUUAUAAAUUCCAAGUCUGUAAAUUUUCAACCAGUUGCAAACAACAAAUACAGAAUUUCCUGCUUAGCAUUAACUAAAUUAACUUGAAGUGUUUUCAUAUGGUUAUAUCAGAAUAAGGUGUGUUUUUUCUAAAAGCUUUGUCGAAAAGCUCACAAUAACUUUUUUUUUACAUUAAUUUUUUAAUACACUUAUACUAAGCUGAAAUUUUUCCCUUUGGUGCUAUAUUGGUUCCAGUUGUGUCUGAAGGUGGCCUCUCCUGUGGAAAGUUCUGAGGUAGAGAGGUGAUGAUAGCUAUCGUGUAUGAAGUUUCAUGACUGUGAAAGAAGGCCUUCUAUAAACAUUUUAAUUUUUGAAGCAAUUAGUAGAGAAAUAAGAUAUUCUUUUGAAUAAAUUGUUUCCAUGAUUGAAUUAUAAAGGGGAUCACUCAUUUGAAAUAUUUUAAGUUGUAUCAUUUUGGCAAUGAAAACUAAGGGAAGCCUGUUUUAAAAGUUCUGACAUUUAUAUGCAUUUUCUUCUGUUUUGCCUUUAUGGAUUCUGUUCUUAAAGAUUGAACAGCGCAAUCACUUUAAAUUUAGAAACAGUGUAUAGCACAAAAUCUUGGACUCGGUUAUUCUUAUUUGGAAAUCGUAAAAUCUUUUUUUUUUUAAACAUUAGAAUGAAUGUUGAGAUCUUGAAGUGAUUAUGAAGUUGCAAGCCUAUAGAGAAUAAAAAAUUAAGAAAC